AUCUGCGCAAUUUAAGGCCAGAACCAAGCAUCUGGACAUACGUUUCCAAAAUGUGUGUCAGAGUGUUCAGUCAGGUUUGAUACGACUGAAGUACUGUGCCAGUCACAGUAACCUGGCUGAUGGAUUUACCAAACCUUUAAGCUUCCAGCGUCAUGGGGAGUUUUGUGGUGGUUUGGAGUUGGGGGUAAGUUCUGUACUUACUUUCCCCACAGUAGCACAGAGCGAGAGGGGGUGUGAGGAGAA